AAGCAUUGCGAUGGUCCCU
rnacentral:snRNA from 1 species